rnacentral:rRNA from 1 species
UACGGGGGGAGCAAGCGUUGUUCGGAUUUACUGGGCGUAAAGGGCGCGUAGGCGGCCAGCACAAGUCAGUUGUGAAAUCUCCGGGCUUAACUCGGAAAGGUCAACUGAUACUGUGCGGCUAGAGUGCAGAAGGGGCAACUGGAAUUCUCGGUGUAGCGGUGAAAUGCGUAGAUAUCGAGAGGAACACCUGCGGCGAAGGCGGGUUGCUGGGCCGAUACUGACGCUGAGGAGCGAAAGCGUGGGGAGCAAACAGG